CAGUCGCCGCGGGAAUACGUAGGGUGCGAGCGUUGUCCGGAAUUACUGGGCGUAAAGGGCUCGUAGGUGGUUUGUCGCGUCGUCUGUGAAAUUCCGGGGCUUAACUCCGGGCGUGCAGGCGAUACGGGCAUAACUUGAGUACUGUAGGGGUAACUGGAAUUCCUGGUGUAGCGGUGAAAUGCGCAGAUAUCAGGAGGAACACCGAUGGCGAAGGCAGGUUACUGGGCAGUUACUGACGCUGAGUAGCGAAAGCAUGGGUAGCGAACAGGAUUAGAUACCCCAGUAGUCCCUGUCUCUUAUA
rnacentral:rRNA from 1 species